CCCCUUUUAUUUUUCCUUUCCCCGCUCCAGGUUUGGUUGGUCUUGAGAGACGCCGUCGCCUUUACCACGAGAGAAAAACAAUACAAACAAUACAAAAUACAAUACAAAACGCGAACAAAACAACAAAAUAUAUAUAUACAACAAAGAGGGAAGGAAAAAACAGGUUUUCUCUCCCCCUUUGCCGUGAAGAGCCGCUGCAGCCUCUCCGUCCUUUGGACCGUCCUUGGAAGCCGUUCCAAACCCGAAGGAAACUGCCACUUUAAAAAACAUAUUUCCCUCUUCUUUCCCCCCAAAAAAACAAAGGCAAAGCCCACUUUUUUUUUUUUUAAACAAAAAAACCCAAGCAACUUUUUUUUUUAUUUUUUUUUUGGUUUCUAGCUCGACCAAUUUAGCUCGAUCCACUCUUUUAGGGCUUUAGAAAACAAACCAAGGAAAAAAAAAAACCCUUUAAAAAAAACACCCCAAAAUACCCGUCAAGCUGCAAAAAAAAAGUUGCUGCGUUUUUUUUAAAAGCCAUGACUAAAAUCAAACGAAUUUGUUGGCUCUAACACCACCUCCAAAUGCCAAAAUCCAAACCUUGAAGCGCUGUCGGCUGAGAAAAAAAAUUGGAUAGCUGUUCCUGCCAUGGGCUCCGGCCCCAUCGACCCCAAGGAGCUCCUCAAGGGCCUCGAUUGUUUCCUGGGCGGGAUGGGGAGGUCAAAACCAUGGAUGGCAUCUCCAAAAUAUUCAGCCUCAUGAAGGACUCCCAGAAGAUGGUGAGUCGCUGCAUUUACCUGAACAUCCUCCUGCAGACCCGGGCCCAGGACAUCCUGGCCAAGUAAGCACGUGGCAA